rnacentral:rRNA from 1 species
GAUGAACGCUGGCGGCGUGCCUAAUACAUGCAAGUCGAGCGAACAGACGAGGAGCUUGCUCCUCUGACGUUAGCGGCGGACGGGUGAGUAACACGUGGAUAACCUACCUAUAAGACUGGGAUAACUUCGGGAAACCGGAGCUAAUACCGGAUAAUAUAUUGAACCGCAUGGUUCAAUAGUGAAAGACGGUUUUGCUGUCACUUAUAGAUGGAUCCGCGCCGCAUUAGCUAGUUGGUAAGGUAACGGCUUACCAAGGCAACGAUGCGUAGCCGACCUGAGAGGGUGAUCGGCCACACUGGAACUGAGACACGGUCCAGACUCCUACGGGAGGCAGCAGUGGGGAAUCUUCCGCAAAGGGCGAAAGCCUGACGGAGCAACGCCGCGUGAGUGAUGAAGGUCUUCGGAUCGUAAAGCUCUGUUAUUAGGGAAGAACAAAUGUGUAAGUAACUAUGCACGUCUUGACGGUACCUAAUCAGAAAGCCACGGCUAACUACGUG